AGUGAACGCUGGCGGUAGGCCUAACACAUGCAAGUCGAACGGCAGCACAGUAAGAGCUUGCUCUUACGGGUGGCGAGUGGCGGACGGGUGAGGAAUACAUCGGAAUCUACUUUUUCGUGGGGGAUAACGUAGGGAAACUUACGCUAAUACCGCAUACGACCUACGGGUGAAAGCAGGGGAUCUUCGGACCUUGCGCGUUUGAUUGAGCCGAUGUCGGAUUAGCUAGUUGGCGGGGUAAAGGCCCACCAAGGCGACGAUCCGUAGCUGGUCUGAGAGGAUGAUCAGCCACACUGGAACUGAGACACGGUCCAGACUCCUACGGGAGGCAGCAGUGGGGAAUAUUGGACAAUGGGCGCAAGCCUGAUCCAGCCAUACCGCGUGGGUGAAGAAGGCCUUCGGGUUGUAAAGCCCUUUUGUUGGGAAAGAAAAGCAGCAGGUUAAUACCCCGCUGUUCUGACGGUACCCAAAGAAUAAGCACCGGCUAACUUCGUG
rnacentral:rRNA from 1 species